UGGGGAAUAUUGCACAAUGGGCGAAAGCCUGAUGCAGCAACGCCGCGUGAGUGAUGAAGGUCUUCGGAUUGUAAAGCCCUGUCUUUUGGGACGAUAAUGACGGUACCAAAGGAGGAAGCCACGGCUAACUACGUGCCAGCAGCCGCGGUAAUACGUAGGUGGCGAGCGUUGUCCGGAUUUACUGGGCGUAAAGGGUGCGUAGGCGGAUGUUUAAGUGAGAUGUGAAAUACCCGGGCUUAACUUGGGUGCUGCAUUUCAAACUGGAUAUCUAGAGUGCAGGAGAGGAGAAUGGAAUUCCUAGUGUAGCGGUGAAAUGCGUAGAGAUUAGGAAGACACCAGUGGCGAAGGCGAUUCUCUGGACUGUAACUGACGCUGAGGCACGAAAGCGUGGGUAGCAAACAGGAUUAGAUACCCUGGUAGUCCACGCCGUAAACGAUGAGUACUAGGUGUAGGAGGUAUCGACCCCUUCUGUGCCGCAGUAAACACAUUAAGUACUCCGCCUGGGAAGUACGAUCGCAAGAUUAAAACUCU
rnacentral:rRNA from 1 species